rnacentral:rRNA from 1 species
CCUACGGGUGGCUGCAGUGGGGAAUAUUGGACAAUGGGGGAAACCCUGAUCCAGCGACGCCGCGUGAGUGAAGAAGUAUUUCGGUACGUAAAGCUCUAUCAUCAGGAAAGAAAAUGACGGUAUCUGACUAAUAAGCACCGGCUAACUACGUGCCAGCAGCCGCGGUAAUACGUAGGGGGCAAGCGUUACUCGGAUUCACUGGGCGUAAAGGGAGCGUAGACGGCAGAGCAAGUCUGGAGUGAAAUGCCGGGGCGCAACCCCGGAACUGCUCUGGAAACUGUGAAGCUGGAGUAUAGGAGAGGUAAGCGGAAUUCCUGGUGUAGCGGUGAAAUGCGUAGAGAUCAGGAGGAACA